GGGUGACUGAUCAUACCCACCAGCCGGCUAAUGUCAGAAUUAACAAAGUUGCUACUACAUCUGCAAAGUUUAAUCGAAAAAAUUUACCGAUGAUACGAUGGCAUCGUCACAGACAUCCCAAGGGACAGAGAGUCUACUUCUGCUCAAGGUGGAAAAAACCGUGCAGGCAAGAUGAGAAAUUCCAAACCAGCUCGACCAAA
ensembl:misc_RNA